UUCGUUUUCCGUUAGAUUCGGAAUGUGACGUCACCGCCGGCGCUUUGGUAUGAAGUUGUUCGCGAUUCGAAUUUUUCAUGCGCAGAAACAUUCGAGUGCGCGUAACGAACAUGGAACUGAUGGAACGUUAUCGAACGCCAGAGGCGAAUAAUCGUUGCGUUCCAUUUCGCUUUGUUUGUUUAUUUCAAAACGAGUCGUCGGUAUAGUAAAUUCGGCGGUAUCACGUAAGUGAUUGUCAGUAAUUAGCCGAAUGACCAUAAUUAACUAUGUUUUCUCUAUCGAUUUGUAUGCGUGUGUAUACGUGUGUGCUUGGAACAAUGGACAGUUUUGGAAAAGCUGAGUAUUGAUUGAUUAACUUACGGCCUUAUCACCGCAACCCCUUUGGACAUCAUUAUGACAAAGCAGCCGCCUCAAUUUCUGUGCCAAGAAGCGCGAUGACUGCCAGAAAUUCUUGGAGACAACGAC